AACGCGAAGAACCUUACCUGGGCUCGAAGCGCAGUGGAUAUGGGUGGAAACAUCCCUUUCUCGCAAGAGACUGCUGCGGAGGUGCUGCAUGGCUGUCGUCAGCUCGUGUCGUGAGAUGUUGGGUUAAGUCCCGCAACGAGCGCAACCCUUAUCGUUAGUUGCCAGCGAGUCAAGUCGGGCACUCUAGCGAAACCGCCUCGGAUAACGGGGAGGAAGGUGGGGAUGACGUCAAGUCCUCAUGGCCUUUAUGUCCAGGGCUACACACGUGCUACAAUGGCCGGUACAAACCGUCGCAAACUCGCGAGAGGGAGCUAAUCGGAAAAAACCGGUCUCAGUUCGGAUUGCAGUCUGCAACUCGACUGCAUGAAGUCGGAGUCGCUAGUAAUCGCAGAUCAGCACGCUGCGGUGAAUACGUUCCCGGGCCUUGUACACACCGGAGUA
rnacentral:rRNA from 1 species